AGGUCAAAAUGGACCAGACUGGAUCUACAUUGGACAUCAGCAGCAUCUGCAUUUGAAAUAGUGGACCAAACUACGAGGGGCGUUCAUUAAAGAUUUCCCCUGACCUACUUUUGGUUAAGGUGCUGAAGUAAAGUAAGGUAGAGUGAUGGAGGAAGUUGAGCACAGAGCAGUCAUCAGGUUCCUGUAUUUGAAAGGUCGCACUCCGAUACAGGCAUUUGAUGAGAUGAAAGAAAUUUAUGGGGAGGAUGCCCCAUCAUAUGACGUUGUCAAACACUGGCAUCGUCCGUUCAAGUGUGGACUUCCAUCCAUGAAGUCAUUUUUAAAAGGAAAGCGAUUCAAAAACAAGGAAAGCCUCAUUUCUGACGUCAAGGUUUGGGUUCAGGUACAACCUGCUGAGUUCUACAGAAGAGGUCUCCAAAACUGCAUAAAGCGAUGGGAGAAGUGUGUCUCGCUUGCAGGAGCCUAUGUAGAAAAAGAGUAAUAUUUGUGCCAAGAUUCAAUUCUCUCGGCUCAUUGGAAGUAGGUCAGGGGAAAUCUUUAAUGAAUGCUCCUCGUAUUAAUUCAGAAUGACUUGUAUCUUCUUCUUUUCCUUUCGGCUUGUCCCGUUAGGGGUCGCCACAGCGUGUCAACUUUUGCCAUCUUAGCCUAUCUCCUGCAUCUUCCUCUCUAACCCCAACUGCCCUCAUGUCUUCCCUCACCACAUCCAUAAACCUUCUCUUUGGUCUUCCUCUCGCUCUUUUGCCUGGGAGCUCCAUCCUCAGCAUCCUUCUACCAAUAUACUCACUCUCUCGCCUCUGAACAUGUCCAAACCAUCGAAGUCUGCUCUCUCGAAUCUUGUCUCCAAAACAUCCAGCUUUGGCUGUCCCUCUAAUGAGC